rnacentral:rRNA from 1 species
CCCUAGUAACUGCGAGUGAAGCGGGAAAAGCUCAAAUUUAAAAUCUGGUGGUCUUUGGCCAUCCGAGUUGUAAUUUAGAGAAGCGUCUUCCGCGCUGGACCAUGCACAAGUCUCCUGGAAUGGAGCGUCAUAGAGGGUGAGAAUCCCGUCUUUGGCAUGGACCCCCAGUGCUUCUGUGAUGCGCUCUCAAAGAGUCGAGUUGUUUGGGAAUGCAGCUCAAAAUGGGUGGUGAACUCCAUCUAAAGCUAAAUAUUGGCGANANACCGAUAGCGAACAAGUACCGUGAGGGAAAGAUGAAAAGCACUUUGGAAAGAGAGUGAAACAGUACGUGAAAUUGUUGAAAGGGAAACGCUUGAAGUCAGUCGCGUCGACCGAGACUCAGCCUUGCCUUGGCUUGGUGUACUUCUCGGCUGACGGGUCAGCAUCAAUUUUGAUCCUUGGAUAAUGGCAAGGGAAAGGUAGCACCUUUACAGGUGUGUUAUAGUCCUCUGUCGGAUGCAGGGGUUGGGAUUGAGGAACUCAGCACGCACCUUGUCGGNGUCGAGGCCCUUGGCCUACGUUACGUGCUUAGGAUGCUGGCAUAAUGGCUUUAAACGACCCGUCUUGAAACACGGACCAAGGAGUCUAACAUGCACGCNNGUGUNCGGGUGGAAAACCCGUGCGCGUAAUGAAAGUAAAAGUUGGGACCUCUGUCGUGGAGGGCACCGACGCCCGGACCAGACCUUCUGUGACGGNUCUGCGGUAGA